rnacentral:misc_RNA from 1 species
GAAAUGCGAUAAGUAAUGUGAAUUGCAGAUUUCAGUGAAUCAUCGAAUCUUUGAACGCACAUUGCGCCCCCUGGUAUUCCGGGGGGCAUGCCUGUUCGAGCGUCAUUUCACCACUCAAGCCUCGCUUGGUAUUGGGCGACGCGGUCCGCCGCGCGCCUCAAAUCGACCGGCUGGGUCUUUCGUCCCCUCAGCGUUGUGGAAACUAUUCGCUAAAGGGUGCCGCGGGAGGCCACGCCGUAAAACAACCCCAUUUCUAAGGUUGACCUCGGAUCAGGUAGGGAUACCCGCUGAACUUAAGC